rnacentral:rRNA from 1 species
UCGAGGAUCUUCGGCAAUGGGCGCAAGCCUGACCGAGCGACGCCGCGUGUGCGAUGAAGGCCUUCGGGUUGUAAAGCACUGUCGAGGGGGAGAAAACCCCGGAAAGGGUUGAUCUAUCCCUGGAGGAAGCACGGGCUAAGUUCGUGCCAGCAGCCGCGGUAAGACGAACCGUGCGAACGUUGUUCGGAAUCACUGGGCUUAAAGGGCGCGUAGGCGGGCUGCCAAGUCUGGGGUGAAAUCCCACGGCUCAACCGUGGAACUGCCUCGGAUACUGGCGGCCUCGAGGGAGGUAGGGGCGUGCGGAACUGUGGGUGGAGCGGUGAAAUGCGUUGAUAUCCACAGGAACUCCGGUGGCGAAAGCGGCGCGCUGGACCUCUUCUGACGCUGAGGCGCGAAAGCCAGGGGAGCAAACGGGAUUAGAUACCCCCGUAGUCC